AAGGGGCCGUAGCUUGAUAAUAGGGUCCCUUGAGAAAUCCGCCGGCUUAACUGGCGGGCGUUCAGGGGAAACUUGUUUUCUAGGGACCGGGAGAGGUGAGGGGUACUGCCGGGGUAGGAGUGAAAUCCUGUAAUCCCGGUGGGACCACCUAUGGCGAAGGCAUCUCACCAGAACGGGUCCGACAGUGAGGGACGAAAGCUGGGGGAGCAAACCGGAUUAGAUACCCGGGUAGUCCCAGCUGUAAACUAUGUGCGUUAGGUGUGUCAGUGACCACGUGUCACUGAGGUGCCGAAGGGAAACCGUGAAACGCACCGCCUGGGGAGUACGGUCGCAAGGCUGAAACUUAAAGGAAUUGGCGGGGGAGCACCACAACGGGUGGAGCCUGCGGUUUAAUCGGACUCAACGCCGGGAAUCUCACCGGAUAAGACAGCUGAAUGAUAGUCGGGAUGAAGACUCUACUUGACUAGCUGAGAGGAGGUGCAUGGCCGUCGUCAGUUCGUACUGUGAAGCAUCCUGUUUAGUCAGGCAACGAGCGAGACCCACGCGAGCAGUUGCCAGCUUGACCUUCGGGUUGAUGGGGACACUGCUCGGACCGCCUCUGCUAAAGGGGAGGAAGGACUGGGCAACGGUAGGUCAGCAUGCCCCGAAUCAUCCGGGCUACACGCGGGCUACAAUGGACAGGACAAUGAGUUUCGACACCGAGAGGUGAGGAUAAUCUUCUAACCCUGUCCCAAGUUCGGAUUGCGGGUUGUAACUCACCCGCAUGAAGCUGGAAUCCGUAGUAAUCGCGUUUCAACAUACCGCGGUGAAUAUGUCCCUGCUCCUUGCACACACCGCCCGU
rnacentral:rRNA from 1 species